rnacentral:rRNA from 1 species
GACGAACGCUGGCGGCGUGCCUAAUACAUGCAAGUAGAACGCUGAAGGAGGAGCUUGCUUCUCUGGAUGAGUUGCGAACGGGUGAGUAACGCGUAGGUAACCUGCCUGGUAGCGGGGGAUAACUAUUGGAAACGAUAGCUAAUACCGCAUAAUAGUAGAUGUUGCAUGACAUUUGCUUAAAAGGUGCAAUUGCAUCACUACCAGAUGGACCUGCGUUGUAUUAGCUAGUUGGUGGGGUAACGGCUCACCAAGGCGACGAUACAUAGCCGACCUGAGAGGGUGAUCGGCCACACUGGGACUGAGACACGGCCCAGCCUCCUACGGGAGGCAGCAGUAGGGAAUCUUCGGCGAUGGACGGAAGUCUGACCGAGCAACGCCGCGUGAGUGAAGAAGGUUUUCGGAUCGUAAAGCUCUGUUGUAAGAGAAGAACGAGUGUGAGAGUGGAAAGUUCACACUGUGACGGUAUCUUACCAGAAAGGGACGGCUAACUACGUG